GAGGGUAUAACUCAGGGGUAGAGUGUGUGCUUAGCAUGCACGAGGUCCUGGGUUCGAUCCACGGUACCUCCA
rnacentral:tRNA from 1 species